rnacentral:lncRNA from 1 species
AGAUCGCAGCCCAGAGUCUGCGGAGGCGCACCGUUUCAUCAACAGCAGGGACUGAAACUUCAGCCCAGGAGAAGCCAAGAUGGCACCGUUAUCGCACCCUGGGAAUCGAGGACCGGGAAGAACUUAAUGGUCAGUGCCUGGAUGGUGACAGGUGCUCCAGUGAACUCAGGCAAACUACCUUUUCCUGCGACAGCCGAUUAUCUUUGUGCAGCUUUCAGUUUGCGGCCCCUAACCUCCUCCAGCCCAUAAACUCAGGCCUCCAGUGUUCUGAUCUUUCUCUUUGCCUUUCCGCCUUUCCAGAUGCGAUUCCUCCCGUGAUCUCAGUGAUUGUAUCAGGCGAAAACGAGGAGGGCAAAAUACCGUCCAGAUGUAAACUAGGAGCAGCCGCACCAGCAGCACCAGCAGAAUGCCGUGGUAGUGCGGCAGGCCCUGGCCCCAUGGACAAAGAGAAACUCGUCAGUGGCAGUGGCCACGAACUCAGAAAGCCUGAGGACAGUCAGCAGCUCCUCUGGCUCUUCACUUUCACACUGGUGCAACUACAGGAGCUGAAGAACAUUUUUCAACUCGUUCCAUACCCGGACGUGUUAGAUGGAGUCUCCCUCUGUCGCCCAGGCUGGAGUGCAGUGGCGCGAUCUCGGCUCACUGCAACCUCCACCUCCCGGUUUUAUGCGAUUCUCCUGCCUCAGCCUCCCGAGUAGCUGGGACUACAGGUGCGUGCCACCAUGCCUGGCUAAUUUUUUGUAUUUUUAGUAGAGAUGGGGUUUCACUGUGUUAGCCAGGAUGGUCUCAGUCUCCUGACCUCAUGAUCUACCUGCCUUGGCCUCCCAAAGUGUUGGGAUUACAGGCAUGAGCCACCGUGCCCGGCCUGGUGUUUUAUUUUUAUAUGAUAUAGUGAAGCUAAAUACAUCUGGUUCUGUUAAUGAACAUGAAAAAUUAUACAAUGAGGAAGCAUAUUCCUCUAGAAAUUGUGAAACUGUGUGUUCAUAAAUUUGCUAAUCUGCUACAGAACACUAGUAUAUGACAGUGCUAUAGACUCAAUGUUUGUGUCCCCGCCAAAUUCAUACGUUGAAAUCCUAACCCCUAAUGUGAUUGUAUUAGAAAGUGGGGCCUUUGGUAGGUUAUUAGGUCAUGAGGGUAGAGUCUUCACAAAUGGGAUUAGUGUCCUUAAGCAUUCUCUGCCUGUUUCUAUUAUGUAAAUACAUGUAAAGCCCUGAUAAAUUUCCCCAAAUGUCAUUGUUACAAACCUAUUUAUAUCUUUACUACAGAGCAUAUCGUGGGAAAAUUUUUUAUUUGAAAUCACACGGUUAAGAGUUCAGAAUUGGUUAGAAGAGUAGGGAAUGGCUUACGCUAAUAUAUCUACAAUGACGUAUUUGUGUUCCUGUAGUGUUAAGGAUAGGAAGACAAUGGAUAUUCAACAGCAGCAACAAUAAUAUCAACAAUUAAUCUAAAGAAACUUACAAGAAAAUAUGACUAAAUAUUUACCCACUUUUGGCAUUUGAGUUUUGCUUUCAAUUAUUUAAACUGGAUUUCCUGAAGUAUUUAAUUUGAAAUGUGAAUAUCUGCUCUCUUCAAGUGAUACCUUUUUCCUUUGCUGUUUUUAAUGUGUUUUCUGUAGCUGUAAUAAACCAUAAACAGGUGUCUGACAGCUUUUCUGAGUCCAGAAGCACAGAAUGCUCUAUGAAAGACCAUGAUCCAUUCUCUCUCCUAUCAACAUGUUUUUGUUUGUUCUGUACCCCAUUUGUUUUGUCUAGGAGCAAACACACAGAGAUCUUAAGCCUAUUAAAGUUGUGUUUUGGCUUAGUUUCGGUACACAUAUCCUUUUAAUACAGCAGUUAUUAAAAAUUAUUUUAGGCAAUUAGAAAGGGUAAAGAGUUCUUGGUGGAAUUUUCCAUUAAUAAAAAGCAGCCCCCAAACCAUUUCUUUUCUAACAGAAAGCAGCCUGAAACUUCAAGCUGCAAGCAUAGCUAUGCAAGCUAGCUUUCAUAUGUAAAUGCCAUCAGCUGUACCUGGAAGCCAGGUACAUUCAAUAUGGCGAUUCUCGCUCCCUUUUCUUUGUGGCCACGUGUGCGGGUGUCAUGGCACUAGCCAGGUAAAGUCACAUGUGCAGGUGUCAUGGUGACAGUCAGAUAGAAGCCAUAAUUGCAUAAUAAAAGAUUAGGGUUGGAGGGCCAGUCUUUUCAUGGACUGUGUAAAUGGAGCACCUGGUCAAACCAAUCCCCUGGGCUCUAUGUAAAUCAAUCACCGCCUCCUCAAGCCUUUGUACAAAAUUGAUCACGUUCUGCACCUAACCCAGAAACCCUCUCUCAGGUGACCCGCUUUCUCAGCAUGAGGAAGCUUAUUCUAUCUCUCUUCCUUUUUGUCUGUUAAACUUUCUGCUCCUUAACCCACUCCACGUGUGUGUCCAUGUUGUUAAUCAUCGGCGCGAGACAACUAACUACAGUGGCCUCAGGGAUAUGGAAUUAAGAUCCACCUGGUGUGAUGAAUAAACCCAGACUCUCAGCAACGCAGGAAAAAAAAAACAAAAACUGGCUGGCGAUCUGGAGUAAAGGAUCCUCACAUCCACGUGAACCAGGAAACUCUGUGCCCAAAUCGACGAAAAAAAAACACUGGGAGAGCCGAACUAAAAGUCUUUUAGCACGGGUACCAGCCCUAGAAUUUCCAGUACACCAGCAGCAGCCUGGAAACCACAUCCUCAUCAAAAGACAGAAAGAAAAAAACUCGAGCCAGCCUGAGAAGGACCCUAUUUUAUGCUGUUAACCACUGAGACUGCCAUCCUCACAGCUGAGAAAGGAUGGACCCACCAUACUCAAGUCAAGAAAACAUCUUCCUCGUCAGAAUCAUGGGUUACUGUACUAGGAUUAAGCCUUACUAAGUUAAAGUUAAAGAAAGCUUAAUUUUCAUAUACCUUCUAUAUUGCUUCUUUUCCUUUCCUUAUUCUGUUACUAGCUCCUUUGUUAUUAAUGUAACUAAGUCUGAGUCACCUCAGACCAUUGCCUUUUAUGCUUGCUCUGUCAUACCUUGUGGAAAUGUAAAAGAUCAAUGACAGCUAGCCUUUUCACACAAUUAUUUAUGCCUCGGCCCUCUAAUUGACACAGUUACCCCUAGCACUCAUCGUUGUGAUCACCUGCAGCCAAGACGCUGAUUUUCUGCUCCUAUAGCCUGGCAACCUUGUGGUACAUGGGACUACGUCCUUUAAACUACCCAGGAGCAAAGUUGGACUUCCAUGAAAAAGGUUUGUGCAGAUCUAAAACCUCUCAUCUAUUUCACUAAAAGGACUUCCCCUUCUAACUGUCACCCUUACCAAUGUAACCCUGUCCUCUCUAUCACCACCUCCACCUGUCUUUAACUAACUCUAGACCUGUCCUUAAUUGCUUUUAUGGUAUUGGAAUAGGAAUUAAAAGAAAUUAAAGAAUGUGUAAGGAGAAACUCAGUUGUAUGUAAGAAAACCCAAUUCCCCCUGAGAAAGAGAAAGAGUUGGAGUCCUUUAAAAAUUAACUGCCUGUUUUUCUGUGGCUAGUGAGCCUUAUCUCUCCUCCUUUCCCAGACAUUGUGAAGACCCUGUUUCUCUAGCUGUGCAGCUGCAAGGUCACUAGACAGAUAAACUCAAGUUGUAAAACAUGUUUUUCCUUGAAAAGUAAGAAAUGCUGUAAUGCAUUUCUCAAUUAAUUAAAUAACUGUCUUUGUUUCUCGCUUCUGUAAUAUGCUUCCCCCUGCACAGAUCUCCACCCACCCUACAAAAUGCUUAAAAGGUAACUUAACUCUUUGUUCUGGGCUCAGUCCUUUGGGCUGAGUACUGGGCCGGUGCACCUAAAUAAUAAAUAUCUUCCUGAACCCCAUUUGUCU